UCCGUGUUCGCCAAGGUGGUAAGGCAGUGGACUCUGAAUCCAUAAUUCGCUGGUUCGAAUCCAGCACACGGAA
rnacentral:tRNA from 1 species